GAUGAACGCUGGCGGCGUGCCUAAUACAUGCCAGUCGAACGCUGAAGCUUGGUGCUUGCACCGAGCGGAUGAGUUGCGAACGGGUGAGUAACGCGUAGGUAACCUGCCUCUUAGCGGGGGAUAACUAUUGGAAACGAUAGCUAAUACCGCAUAAAAGUCGAUAUCGCAUGAUAUUGAUUUGAAAGGUGCAAAUGCAUCACUAAGAGAUGGACCUGCGUUGUAUUAGCUAGUUGGUGAGGUAACGGCUCACCAAGGCGACGAUACAUAGCCGACCUGAGAGGGUGAUCGGCCACACUGGGACUGAGACACGGCCCAGACUCCUGCGGGAGGCAGCAGUAGGGAAUCUUCGGCAAUGGGGGCAACCCUGACCGAGCAACGCCGCGUGAGUGAAGAAGGUUUUCGGAUCGUAAAGCUCUGUUGUAAGAGAAGAACGAGUGUGAGAGUGGAAAGUUCACACUGUGACGGUAACUUAACAGAAAGGGACGGCUAACUACGUG
rnacentral:rRNA from 1 species